rnacentral:rRNA from 1 species
UAGUCUCGCACAGAUGCAUAUCAAUAAGCGGAGGAAAAGAAACUAACAAGGAUUCCCUCAGUAACGGCGAGUGAAGCGGGAAGAGCUCAAAUUUGAAAUCUUGAAAGGUCACCUUUCACGAAUUGUAGUUUAAAGAAGUGUUUUCUGUUACGAUCGUAAUAUAAGUUCUUUGGAAUAGGGACAUCACAGAGGGUGAGAAUCCCGUCUAUGAUUGCGAUUUGUAGCUUUGUGAUACACUUUCAAAGAGUCGGGUUGUUUGGGAAUGCAGCCCAAAACGGGAGGUAAAUUUCUUCUAAGGCUAAAUAUUGGCGAGAGACCGAUAGCGAACAAGUACCGUGAGGGAAAGAUGAAAAGAACUUUGAAAAGAGAGUUAAAUAGUACGUGAAAUUGUCAAAAGGGAAGCGUUUAACACCAGUGUUGUUUUCUGAAAAUCAACCUCUGUUAGCUUUAUGCAUGUUUGUUUAGACCUAAUCAGCUAUCUUGCAUGUUCUAUUGUUUGCAGUGGUGCACUUUUCAGUUUACAGGUCAACAUCAGUUUUUUUUACCGUAAAAAAGUUAAAGAAAGGUAGCUCAUGGCUCCGGUCGUGAGUGUUAUAGUCUUUUUCCUAUGCGGUAGGAGAGACUGAGGUCUGCAGUGUAGGCUAUUUGGCUAGAUACUCAGGUGCUAUGUGAUACCAUUUCAUAAACAACUUGUUGAUUAUGUUUUGUCUAUUGCAUACUCGCUUGUACUAUCAUACCUACGCUUAGGAUGUUGAGUCGUAGAGCACGCAG